UACUAUGACUGUAAGUUUGCAAUAUGAAACUUGUGAUCAACUUCUUGUAUGCUAAUGGAAGGGAUGUCUGUUAGGAUUUACUCUUAAUGCUGUUUUCCGUAUAUGUGAUUUGUACUGAAGUUGUGAGGACAUUUCCAAAUAGUUUGGAACUUUUGACUGAAUUGAUUGCCUCAGAAAAGCUUAUGGUCGAUAUCAAUCACAAAGGGAAAAAUAUCAGCUAAUUGUAGAAGUUUG
rnacentral:misc_RNA from 1 species